rnacentral:rRNA from 1 species
GACGAACGCUGGCGGCGUGCUUAACACAUGCAAGUCGAGCGGUGCGGCGAACGGGUGGGUAACGCGUGAGUAACUGCCCCCCUCCCUGGGGUAACAGUUGGAAACGGCUGCUAAUACCUGAUAGUAGGGGAUGACUCGCGUCCAAUCCGCUUGUUGGUGGGGUAGUGGCCUACCAAGGCGAGGACGGGUAGCCGGCCUGGGAGGGCGACCGGCCACAUGGGGCUGAGGGACGGACCAAACGGCUACAGGGGGCAGCAGGGGCGAGUCUUGCGCAGUGGGGGCAACCGUGAUGAAGCGACGUCGCGGGCGGAAUGUCGGCUUUGGGGUUGGAAACCGCGUUCAGCUAAUACGCGGUAGUGGCAGAAGAAGCACCGGCUAACUACGUGCCAGCCGCCGCGGUAAUUC